UUUUGCUAUUUUGCCGGUUUUAUUUCAGAUUUAUAAUCGGCAAGAGAACAUGUUUAACCUGUUAACCACGCCAUAUUCUGCAUGUAUGUGCCUGUUCCAAGUCAGGAGCAUGUAAUUCAGUGAUUUUCUUUUGUUGAUGUGUCACAUAAAUUAUUUGUUUUUCUUUCAUUUUUUUGUACAUAAAUUAGGCCGUUAGUAUUAGGGGGGGGGGGCAUUAUUAUUUGAAUUGUUUUACAUUUGUUAUUCCGGGAGUCAGGAUGGCUCGUUAUCACAUAAAAAAAUUAUCGGACCUCAUUAACCAAUAUAAUAUCAGUUUACGAGUAGUUUUCAUACCUCGGACGACCUGUUUAACAAAAAUCUUUUGACCGCAUCAAUCUAAACUGCCAUUAUUUGCUUUUUCUUUCUGCAAAUCUAUAUAGCUG
rnacentral:lncRNA from 1 species